UCGCCCUGGGAGGGGCCCGCGUCCGAUUAGCUAGUUGGUGGGGUAACGGCUCACCAAGGCGACGAUCGGUAGCUGGUCUGAGAGGAUGAUCAGCCACACUGGGACUGAGACACGGCCCAG
rnacentral:rRNA from 1 species